UUGAUUCUUCGGAUGAAGAUUUUUGUGACUGANCGGCGGACGGGUGAGUAACGCGUGGGUAACCUGCCUUACACAGGGGGAUAACAGUUAGAAAUGACUGCUAAUACCGCAUAAGACCCCGGUACCGCAUGGUACAGAGGUAAAAACUGAGGUGGUGUAAGAUGGACCCGCGUCUGAUUAGGUAGUUGGUGAGGUAACGGCUCACCAAGCCGACGAUCAGUAGCCGGCCUGAGAGGGUGGACGGCCACAUUGGAACUGAGACACGGCCCAGACUCCUACGGGAGGCAGCAGUGGGGAAUAUUGCACAAUGGGGGAAACCCUGAUGCAGCGACGCCGCGUGAGCGAUGAAGUAUUUCGGUAUGUAAAGCUCUAUCAGCAGGGAAGAAAAUGACGGUACCUGACUAAGAAGCCCCGGCUAACUACGUGCCAGCAGCCGCGGUAAUACGUAGGGGGCAAGCGUUAUCCGGAUUUACUGGGUGUAAAGGGAGCGUAGACGGCAUGGCAAGCCAGAUGUGAAAUACCGGGGCUCAACCCCGGGACUGCAUUUGGAACUGUUAAGCUGGAGUGUCGGAGAGGCAGGCGGAAUUCCUAGUGUAGCGGUGAAAUGCGUAGAUAUUAGGAGGAACACCAGUGGCGAAGGCGGCCUGCUGGACGAUAACUGACGUUGAGGCUCGAAAGCGUGGGGAGCAAACAGGAUUAGAUACCCUGGUAGUCCACGCCGUAAACGAUGACUACUAGGUGU
rnacentral:rRNA from 1 species